CUGAAGGUAGCCCUACAGAAAGCCCCUGUUCUGGCCCAACCAGAUCUGAGCCAUCCUUUUCAAGUGCAAACUUAUGCCAGUUCUACACACUCUAAAAAAUGAUUCAUGGGGUUAGUUUGUAAAACUUAAAAUAAACAAUAUUUUCAGCAUAAAAUAAUUAAGUUUGUAAUAUGUACUCGUAUUGGUGAGUUGAUAACUCAUUUUAAUAAGUCUUUCAAAAGUAAAAUAAAGGAUACUGUCUUAACUUAAUUAUAUAUCAAUUUUGAACACACACUUUUACAUUCUCGUAACAACAGAAAAAUAUUAAGUUAGUGAAACUUGUAUAUCUAGUGAGCAUCGGAAUUUACCUGUACGUGUUUUUUUGCCAGAGAAGGACUACUAGGAGCCUGAGAAACAGGAGAAUCAAGGCUAUAUAGGAUGAUGAGGUGCCACAAAUUUUGACCCAGCCAACGCCAGUAUUAUUAUUGAGGGAACAGAAGUCCUGCAAGACCUGGAUGUAUCCAGUGCCUGUGCCCUGCUAGGGCUGGUAUAUGCUCUCAACCUCAGCUACCCAAAGGAACUAAAAAAUACUUUUGAGGUGUUUCAGAAAAUAAUUCUUGAGCUGGAUGGUCUGAAAGCUAGGCCGAAGGUAAUGUCUUUAAACAAUAAACUGUUGUAUUCCUGAAA